rnacentral:rRNA from 1 species
UACGUAGGGUGCGAGCGUUGUCCGGAAUUAUUGGGCGUAAAGGGCUCGUAGGCGGUCUGUCACGUCGGGAGUGAAAACUCAGGGCUUAACCCUGAGCCUGCUUCCGAUACGGGCAGACUAGAGGUAUGCAGGGGAGAACGGAAUUCCUGGUGUAGCGGUGGAAUGCGCAGAUAUCAGGAGGAACACCGGUGGCGAAGGCGGUUCUCUGGGCAUUACCUGACGCUGAGGAGCGAAAGCAUGGGGAGCGAACAGG